UCUAAGUCCAUAACUAUAAUUGGUAAGACUUGACCCGACCCGGCAUGGUCCAUUUGGGUUGCAAACCUUCAUGCACUUAAAUAGACUAUAAUGAGAGAAAUAAGACACUUAUGGUUAUUAAUAUAUUAUAAGUUCUAGUAUAUUAAUAAUAAGAAUAAUAAGAUUGUUUAAUUGGUAUUGAUCAAGAAUUAAUCUAGGAUUAAUUAAGUGAUCAAAAGAAGACUAAUUAAAUAUAUGGGUUGAUUGUGUAAAUCAUCCAUACUUAUAUAGUGGGCUAAUGCUCCAUGGAUAAUCAAGUUGGGCUAAAACCCAUAGGAUGGUCCAUGGGUGCUCCAUGGUGUAUUUGAACCCAUGGAUCCAAGGAAAUGGAAAGUCAUGACAAUUAAGGAUUUACCCUAAUUGUAACACUAUAUAAUGAUCUUAUUCUUGACAAAAAUCGGCGACUAGGAUUAUUCUAGAGAGGGCUAGCCGAUUUCAUGAAGUGUAGAACUCUCUCAAGUUAUUCUAAGUGUUUUGAUAACUGUGAUUCCAUUUGAGGCUUCCACACUAUUGGGGCUAGGCACUCAAGCUUCAUGAAGACUUUCUACAUCAAAGAGGUAUGUAUUCUAUCUUGUUAUAUUCAUGUUUUGUAUGAUAGAUUAGGAUGAUACCUUGGAUAUUCUUAUUUGCAUGUAUAAUAGAGAAAACAUAGAUCCAAGGUAUUUAGGGUUGCAUGUACACUUAGGAGUGUUAGAAUGCUCAAAACCCAACAGUGGUAUCAGAGCCUAGGCUUGUUUUCUUGUUAUACUUGCAAAUGGAGCUGAAAAAUCGAGUUGUGAUGCUGUCAGCCCAGCAGACUCGCCGAGUCCAUGAAGGGACUCGACGAGUCCAAGGCAAAAUUCAUCCAACUCGCCGAGUUAUGUUCAUGCACUCGACGAGUUGGACCCCAGACAGCAUAUUUUCGAGGUUUUUGGCUAGAAAUGGACUAGGAACAUUACCCUACGUUGUUUUUGAACUUAUAAACUUGUUUUUUAAUGUGGUAAUGUUCAUGCUAAUCCAUUUUCAAAGAUAAUUGUCAAUAGAUUCAUGUUUUGUAUUAGUUUAAGGUUUAGACUAAUUACAUGAAGAAGUUUGAUAUGAAUUAUCUUGUUCUUAUGAGUUGCUUAGAUUAAUAGAAAAGUUAAUUGAAAUAGUUGUUUUCAAUCCAUUUUAAUCUAAGAGUUGAGUACAAAAUGUGUUUGUGUAACUUGUCCUCAAGUUACAUGAAGAGUCACAUUAAAGACUCAUAAAACUCAUAAAAGUUGGUAAUGGUUACAAAAUGAAGAGUCUUGUGUCAUUGAAUUUUUUUUUUUUUGACUCCAUAACUUGUCCUCAAGUUAUGGAAAUUCAAGAGUCACUUCAUUAAUAAAUAAAUAAAUAAAUAAAGUGUAACCUUAAUUAAUUCCAUAAGUUAUAAAAAUAAAGAAAAGAUUAAUUCUUUUAUUAGUUUAAAGUCUUCCAUAAGUUAUGGAACUUGAAGAGUUUUUUGGAUUAAAACUACUUUAAACACAUAAGUUAUGGAAUUAAUUAGUUUUGAAUAGUUUCAAAACUUGCCCUCAAGUUUUGGAAUUUGAAAAGUUUUCACUUAUGAAUACUUUAAUUCCAAGUUAGCCCUUAGAAUUUUAAAAAAUAAAAUUCAACCCUUAUACUUUAUAAUAUUAUAAGUUAAUAAUAUAUAUAUGUAUAAGAGUAAAGUCAGUCUUACCGCUAGUACGCCUCAUUCACGAAGCCGGUCUAUAAGGUGGGUAUAAGGUUGUUGCCUAUAAAAUGGCAACUUAAUGGGUGUCCACUCUCACCCACCGCUUGCUUGACUGGUGGAGGGUCGUUAGCCGAACGGGUUUGACAGGACUAGAAUUCUCCCUUCAUUAAAAGUAUUAAUGAUAAUACUAAGUAACUAAACUCUUAAUAAUACCCAAUCUUAGUUACUUAGGAAAAAUGUGAAUAAGGUGCUAAUCCAUGAAAUUACACUUUACACUUUGUCUAAGUCGUUAGUGGAGCGUGUGUGGUUAACCGGCACACUAACUUGGACUUAACAAGGUAGGUAAAGGGUGACUUAAUAUUUAUCAUAGUAUCGAUGGAGCGUGUGUGGUUAACCGGCACAUCGAUUGAGGGGUAAUUUAUUAAGGGUACCAAGUGAUUUGCAUGGUUACUUCACACCUUGUUUUGUGAUCCUCGGCAUCCCAGUCACAAAACCUGAAGGGCACACUCGAGAUUGAAACAUGCCUUUGAAAAGUUCAAUGAAUCUCAAAGAUCUAGGAGUUUCAAAACCAAUUAAAACCUAAUAAUACAUUUCGUUUAUCUUGGUGGAAAUUGGUGAAUCGUCAUUCACCUACCUUCAAAUAUUUUAUAGCUUGGAUUACGGCAUACCUCUUCUAAGUUAUAAAAUAGUUUGUUGGGUCCUAGCCUUAAUAUUUCAUAUUGGGUGUCAUAUUAAGGACUUUAAAUCAACUAUCUUGAAUAUCUCCCAAAAGAUGUCUGGUUUAGACACCUAUGAUCUUCCCAAAUCUCUUGAAACAAGGUUUCCUAAUGAAGAUGAUGUCCCAUGGAUAUCAUACUUCUUUCUCCUCCUCCAAUUAUUCUCCCUAACCCACAAGUUCUUGAAAAGUUUAAGGUCACUCAAGCCCUAUUGGCAAGGCAAGGUCUAGGUGUGAUCACAUCUUGGAGAUGUAGUCACAUAUUGACAAGCCGGGAGAGUUGGGUGUCAAAGUCUUGAGAAAGUUGGUGGUUCAAUCACUUUCUAAGUCACAUAGUGAGUUCCUUUGGGACACCUAUGAAACAGACUAUGACAAGACCCUUAAUGAUCUUAUCUAUUUGCUAAGAUCAACUUCCUAAAACUUUAUGGACAUUGACAAUGAUGACAUUGGAUAUCCAGUAAAGCAUUCUCUUCCCAAUGGAAAGGGAUCGGCCAUAGUCAACUCGGUUGACCAAAUGGUAAAGAGAAAAGCUAAGUCUGUGAUAGUCCCGUGUACCAUUAUCAAAGGGUCCAUAUGUUUAUAUUGCCAAAGGAAGGGGCAUUGGUUGCGAAGCUGCCAAAUUUACCUAAGGAUGUUAAAGUCAAUAAGUUUGACUCUACUUCAGGUAAAGUCCACUAUCUAACUCUGUUAAGUUUCUAUUCUGAGAUUCUUGAUACAUGAUGUGACUGGGUCACAUGGUGAUGUUUUAAGAAUCAAAGAAAAGUGAAGAAACUUAAAGAAAGAAUAUGCUGAAUCUGAUGGCGUAGAUGGAUUUCUAUCGCAUAGUUUGAAGAUCGGAUUCUUGAGCUACUUCUUAGGAGUUAUGAGAUAUUGCUUAGGAAUAGAUAACAACAAGUUUUCAUAUGGAUUGUAAGGAUAAGUUUUUCCGCAAAGUUUUAAAAUAAAAGAAAAUUUUUUUGAUUUUAUUUAUUUUAAAAUAUCCUUACAAUGGCUUUUGAGGAAAAAUUGUUGCUUAUAUGAUUCCAUUAAGAGCAAGAGUGGAAAUAUGAAAUUGAUUCUUUCAUUUGUGGUAAUGUCUAGAUUUACCAAAUAAGGAAAGAUUCUCAUCACCCAAGUUUCAAUUGGACCGGAACUUGGAAUCAUGCAAGUUGUAUAGCAUGAUGAAUGAGAACUUUCAAGUUUUGGAAAAUUAAGACUAAUUACUUGUUCACAUGGAUGUGUGAGUCAAGUAAAGGACUUAGGGAUCGAGUACACAUUCUUGUGCACUGAUUAAGUCCACCACUAAAGAUCGAUAAGAAGAAUCAAAUAAGGCAGAAGGAUAAAAGUUUCUCAAAUCUGAAAAGAUGGGAGAGUACUUUAGUAUCAGUUUUGUGAUCAUCUUAAUGAUUAAGAAACCAUAUCAAAAUUAGUUCUCUAAGGAAAUCUUAGUGCAUUCUUAUGACUAAGAAGAGGAACUUGAAUUGUUGAAAUGGUUAAAUCAAGAAGAUGAGUCAUACUUCGUUCCAAUACAAGUCUUAGAGUCAUACUCCAAGAUUGUCAUUUGAGUGACAUGUCUUAAAGAAGGUUUAAAACACUUGUCAAAUGUAAGAGUAAAAGUUUUCUACUCUUGUACAUUUGAAAUUGGUAAGUUGUGAUGUUUUGGAUAAAACAAAGACCAACUUAGGCCAAUUGGGUAAAGUGUUUUUCUUGAUUAGAAUCCGCACUAUCUCUUGGAUGUUUGACAAGGGAGUCUUAUAUGUCAAGAGGACAGUGGGAGUCUUAAAGGUCUUGAAAGUCUCAAGAAAUAAUCAAGAAUAAAACCUAAAGUUCUUCACUAGCACACGACUUGAGGUUUAUAACCUAUCGUGUUGACAUAUCUGUGCCCAUUCCAGUUAAAGUUGGCUUUGCAUAUGAGUUCUUAGAGUUCUCAGUUUGUUGCAUAACAACUUGGAAGCAAUGGCAGGCCCUUGAGCUGCCAGGUGGCAAGAAGUUAAGAUUGAGUUCAAUCCAUAUGGUUUUGGAUUUGUCAUUAUCUUUGUCUUGUGAUUAUGGUUUGACAAAUUCAUAUGGGUAGGAACUCAUACACCAUAUAAAUCUAAGUGUCAUAAGGUUUCUCUCCGAUUCAUGAAAAUGAUGGUGAGGAAACGCUUUCACUAAGUAGAUUUUACGAAGAUAUCAAUUGUGUUAUUUGCAUUUUCAAAAGUCGUUAGUGGAGCGCGUGUGGUUAACCGGCACACUAACAUGGACUUGUGAGAAAUGGCAAAUGCCUAAGCAAUUGAGACCAUGAUUACGGUAUCCCUUUUCAUGGUUCUUGAAAUUGCUUAGACACACAGGUGAGCUAUCUACGGAAAGGGUGUAUGAAUCUAAAUUUCAGACUGUCCAGCUGAUUUCUGAGUACAUGUCAAAGCUAGUGGGAGCAUAAGUGUUAUGCUAAUAAUCAUCAUGUUAGUGGGAGCAUGAUAAUUAUGAUAAGUAUUGCAAGUUAGCAAUGUUAAUUAUAGAAAACAAAAGUUUCAAUUGGGAAAAAGUUGUUUUGCUAUAAUUAAGGGAGAGGAAAUUAUGCUUCAUCUCAAAUCUAUAAGCUUAGAUCGUGAGGUUUUAAUCAUUUAGUCAAGGAUAUAUAUGAAUUUCAUGUUGGAAUGGCUCAACAUAAGGAAAUUCUGUAUAUGGGUCCAUUAUUUGCGUUCUAAAAUUCGAUUAUGAUUACGGCAUCCCUUUUCAUAAUCUGAAUUAUGAGAACUUGGCAAAUUGAAAUGGAAAUAUUAUAGCAAAAGACUGGUUUAGUCUUUAUGUAAGACAUCAUGAAUCGUGUCCCAUAUGCUUCGGAUAUAGGAUCGAUUACAUGUGCUAUAUUCAUCCGUUCUAAAAUUUUCCAAAUGCCUGGGGCAUUAAGAAGGGAAAAGGUUUAGAACUGGAUAUGACUAAAAGGAUUAAACAAUUGUCGAGGACAAUCUAAGGUUUACCAAAGAUUGGUUACUCAAGGACAAUUGGAAGUAUAGUGAUAAUUCUGGAAGGACCAUAUUGACAUAAUCUGUAAGGAGGCAACUCUUGUUCAGAAGUGAUAGUCAAAAUGGAAUCUGGAAAUGUUUCAAAGUUAGAAUUUUCAAUCUGUGUAAGAUUAAGGAAACUUAAUGCAAGAAGGAUAUUUCCAAGGAGUUGAUCUCCUUUGGAAUACUCUGUAAUGAUUGUUGCCAAGUCUUUGUGACUUUGUGCAUAAUCAUUACAAGAGGAUCAAUGCAUAUAAGUUUAGAAUCUAACAGAUUUCAGUAAAUGGCAUGAAUUUGGAAUUCUUGCAUUUGCAGUAAGGAUUUGGGAGUGUGAAAAGAGAAUCAUUGAAGUUAUGUUCAAUUGAUCUAGUUCACAAAGUAAAGAUCAUAGACAAACAUAGUAUGCAUACUUGGUGUGUGGCAUGACUAGUGUUUAAGAAAACAUAGUGUACAUGCUUGGAGCAUGGGACAACUAUUGUUUUAAAUUCAAGAAUAAAGUUGAUAGCUGAAACAGUAUACAAUGAAUAAUGUGUAAUCAUAUGGUGAUAAAUAAAAGGUGUUUUAUUUAUGUUCAAAGGGUUGAUACCAUAUUGGAUUCAAUUAUUAUUGUGUUUCAUUUUGCAUGUUUUGACUUCCCGAAUAAACUGGGUUAUUCUUCCGGAAUGACUAAGUUAUUCAAACCAUCCACAGUCGGUCAUAUGUUGGAAGUAGAUAUGAAUUAAGACUGUCAUGGGUUGGCUUGUAGAGGUCUAAGGUGUUGGACAAAGGGCUACAACACUCAUGAGUGCUCAUAAGUUCUGAGUAUUGGAUUCAACCCGCGCUCAUUGGAAUCACUUCAUGGAUUUUAUCACGAGUGAUCAUGAGACGAUAAUAUCUUAUAUUCUUCAAACCUAGAGAUAUGAGUUGUUACUAUGAGUUGAUAGUACAUUGAUUGCACGAAAACGCAUUUGGUAACUCGGUGCUAUAAAACGUGCCUUUGUGUAUGAUUCAACAAGUAGUAGAACAAGCCAUAUGAGUCGAAGUUUAUCCAUUCCUUUUACCUUCGGGAUAAAAGCGAUAUCUGUGGGCCCCUCGAUGAUUUGAUGAUGACAAAUGGAAGUGCUCGGCCGGGCCAGGACUGAUUUGAUUUGUUCAAUUAGUCAGUCGUCAUAAAUCGGAAAUCGGGAAACAACAAAUGGACAGAGAGAAUGAUUAUAAUCCAUGUCUCAGUCCAUAUGAUAUCUAGAAUGGAGGAAUAUAUGAUCCCUUAUCUAAUGGACAAGUCAUUGACAAAGGUCAGAGUUCAUCUACAAGGUCAGAGUUCGACAGAAGCUUUUGAGAGCUACGAUUGCCAGUUGGUUCCUGAAGUCAUACGCAAUAAUAGUUUUAGACUUAUCCAAGUGGGAGACUGUUGGAUUAAUGUCUAAGUCCAUAACUAUAAUUGGUAAGACUUGACCCGACCCGGCAUGGUCCAUUUGGGUUGCAUACCAUCAUGCACUUGGAUAGACUAUAAUGAGAGAAAUAAGACACUUAUGGUUAUUAAUAUAUUAUAAGUUCUAGUAUAUUAAUAAUAAGAAUAAUAAGAUUAUUUAAUUAGUAUUGAUCAAGAAUUAAUCUAGGAUUAAUUAAGUGAUCAAAAGAAGACUAAUUAAAUAUAUGGGUUGAUUGUGUAAAUCAUCCAUACUUAUAUAGUGGGCUAAUGCUCCAUGGAUAAUCAAGUUGGGCUAAAACCCAUAGGAUGGUCCAUGGGUGCUCCAUGGUGUAUUUGAACCCAUGGAUCCAAGGAAAUGGAAAGUCAUGACAAUUAAGGAUUUACCCUAAUUGUAACACUAUAUAAUGAUCUUAUUCUUGACAAAAAUCGGCGACUAGGAUUAUUCUAGAGAGGGCUAGCCGAUUUCAUGAAGUGUAGAACUCUCUCAAGUUAUUCUAAGUGUUUUGAUAACUGUGAUUCCAUUUGAGGCUUCCACACUAUUGGGGCUAGGCACUCAAGCUUCAUGAAGACUUUCUACAUCAAAGAGGUAUGUAUUCUAUCUUGUUAUAUUCAUGUUUUGUAUGAUAGAUUAGGAUGAUACCUUGGAUAUUCUUAUUUGCAUGUAUAAUAGAGAAAACAUAGAUCCAAGGUAUUUAGGGUUGCAUGUACACUUAGGAGUGUUAGAAUGCUCAAAACCCAACACUUUCAAAAUAGGAGAACACGUACUACGAAACAAUGAGGUGAGUAGAGAAGAACCGCAGGGUAAACUAAGACCAAUAUGGGAAGGCCUAUACUUAAUCCAAGAAGUAAAUAGAGGCGGGUCAUACAGUUUACAUACACUGGAGGAAGAGACAAUACAAAGGUCAUGGCAUGUCAAAGCUCAAAAUGAGAUUACAACCAAAACAGGACGAACGACAUCCUAACAAACGUAUACCAUGGUAUUCACGCAAGUCAUACCAUUGCAUAAACAUCAAGAUCAUUAUCAUGCAAACGGGACAAACGACAUCUCGACACACGUAUAGCAUGGUCUCAAUGCAAGUCAUUCCAUUACACGAACAUCAUGAUCAUUAUCAUCCAAACGGCACAAACAACGUCCUGAAAAAUGUAUAGCAUGGUCUCGAUGCAAGUCAUACCAUUGCACGAACAUCAUGAUCAUUAUUAUGCAUACAACACAAAUGACAUCCUAGAAAACAUGUGGCAUGGUGUCGAUGCAGGUCAUAACAUUGCAUGAACAUCGUGAUUGAUAUCAUGUAAAUGGUACAAACGACAUCCCGAAAAAAAUGUUGCAUGGUCUCGAUGCAAUUCAUACCAUUACAUGAAAUUCAUGAUAAUUAUCAUGUAUACGGGACAAACGACAUCCGAACAAACAUAUAGCAUGGUCUUGAUGUACGGUUAUACCAUUGCAUAGAACUCGCCAUCAUUAUUAUAAGAAGGGACGAUCGACAACCCGGUUAAUAUACAACAUGGUCUCAACAUACGCUAUAUCAUGGGAAACACAACCAAGAUAUCCAAUCUUGAGCAUCAUAUGGACAUAUAAGCAGAAUAGAGGAUUGGAACUACCAAAAAGGUCCUAUGUAUCCAAUAACCAGAGUGAGGGGACAAAAUAUGUAAGACAAAUAAUUGAUAGUACAAUACAACACAAAGUAAUAUCAAAAACUUGGUUACACCCACAAGCUUCUUUGGAAGAAGUGCUUGCGAAAAAAAUAAAGAGCAUAACCAACCCAAGCUCUAGGAUUCAUAAAGAUUUGGCUGCAAGUUGAUCAUGAAGAAUAUCAUUCUCCCAAAGGCACGCUUCAUUAUCAGACUCUAAAACCGACCAGACAGUUCGUCAUGCAUAGGGAUGUUAUUCGGGUCGGAACCGAACCGAACCGAACCGACCCGAAUAAAACGAAAACCGAAUAAGGGUAAUUGUAUGAACCAAAAAUUGAACCAAAUAAGCAAUACGGGUUCGGUUCGGUUCGGGUAUUAUUCGGUUCGGUUCAGUUCCGGCCCGAAUAACCUAAAUAACAUGUACAAGAUGAUUAAGGAGUCGAAUAACCCGAAUAUUUUGUAUUACUGUUGAAGCUUAUGAUUUCAUAAGUAUAUAACCCGAAUAACAUGUAAAAAAUGAUUAAGGAGUCGUAUAACCCGAAUAACCUAAAUAUUUUGCAUUACUUUUGUAGCUUAUGAUUUCAUAACAAAUCCUUUAAAGAAACAAAUUAAACACUAAAAGUUAAACAUCCAAAACACCCAAAAAUCUAUCUAUAUUUAUAUAACCCGAAUAACUCAAAUAACAUGUACAAGAUGAUUAAGGAGUCAAACCCGAUUAACCCGAAUAAAUAUUGUAUUUUUUAUGAUUUUUGUAGCUUAUGAUUUCAUAACAAACCUUUUAAAGAAACAAAUUAAACACCCAAAAAUCUAUCUAUAAGUAUAUAAGUUAAACAUUAAACAUUCAACACCCAAAUUAAAAUAUGAAUCUUAAGUUUUUAUCCAAUAUCCAAAAUAACAUUUUUCAAACACGAAUUAACUAUUCGAGAAUAUUAAUUCGUUGUUUUCCCUUUGCAUCUCCAUUCUUUAUUGCCUCUUCUAAAGCUUUCGCGACCUCAUUGUCUUUCAAAAUUUCAUCAAUGUUGUCCACAAUUUGCUUUCUUGAUUUCCUUACCCAAUCUUGAGUGCAAACCAAAGCCUCUACUAUAUUUGCUGACAAAUUUGUUCUAUAUGCAUCCAAUAUCCGCCCGCUUGUACUAAACACCGCCUCUGACACCACGGUAGAGAUUUGCAGUCCCAAAAUAUCUAUCAGCAUAAACAUAGAAAAUGUUAAAAUAUAAUUAUAUAAAAAAGUAUACAAAUAAUAAAAUUAUACCUUUCGCCAUACGGGAUACAAUAGGGUAACGACAUGCAUUUUGUUUCCACCAAAGUAGAAUAUCAAAAUCUUUAUUGUAUUUAACUGACUGCUCGUUUAGGUAUCGUGUCAACUCUGUUUCAAUUGAUGUCGAUGGGUAAUCAGUUUGUACUACUAAAUCACCCAUGAAGUCAUUCUCAUCAUAUCACAACUACAUCUUCAUGACCAUGUGUUUGAUGUUGAGAAGUGUCGAUAUUGUCAAACUUUGAUUUGUAGAAAUAAAAGAAAUUCUCAAAUCUUUGUUGAAGACCCCGUAUUAAGACCUUAGCCUUCAAAAUGACUUCCGAAUUGAGCAUAGGAUCUUUUUGUGGAUUCAACUUAAUCAACUUCUCAAAAGCUUGUUGAGGAAAAUCAAACUUGAACCGUGGAUCUAAUAUGACCGCAAAAUACAAAAAAUCAUUUAAUUUUUCAAGAUCGCCCCAAUACUUAUCGUAUUUAUCAAUCAUGUCCUUCCCGAUCAAACAAAAUCGGGGACUAACCGCCCAUUCCUUAAUGUGUUUGUAUACAUCACAUAUUUCUCCAAAAAACUGAUGUGCCAUCGAUUUUGUUGACAUCGAUACUAUGUCGGUUUUCACCUUGAAUUUCUCAAGAAGUCCAACCAUAGCUCACCACAUGUUGAAAUCUUCUUUUGAGGGGGUCAGAACGUCUCGAACAAGUGUAGGAUUUAUUAUAACAAAGUAAAUGUUAGUAUUUAUUUUUGUAAAAAAAACAGCUUUAAUACCCCUUAUUUAAGAGCCGAUAACUCACUGAAUAUACACCCAAAUAACAUGUUUAAAUAGUGUAAACUGUAGUUCAAAUUGUAAACUACAAGCUGGAAAAAAUUGUGCUAAUCGGACAAAUAACGAAGGCGUUAUGACUCUUCAAACUUGGCUAAAAAUUUGGAAAAUUGCUGAAACAGAAAAACUCAGAUUUAUUAUCCAAUGUUUAGAGGCCUAUAACUCACUGAAUAUACAACCAAAUAACGAGUAUAAAUAGUGUAAAUUAUAGUUCAAAUUGUAAACUACAAGCUGGAAAGAAAAUCGCGCUAAUCGGACAAAUAACGAAGACGUUAUGACUCUUCAAAUUUGGCUAAAAAUUUAGAAAAAUGCUGAAACAGAAAAACUUAGAUUUAAUAUUCAAUGUUUAGAGAUCUAUAACUCACUGAAUAUACAAUCAAAUAACUUGUAUAUAUAUAUAUAUAUAUAUAUAUAUAUANNNNNNNNNNNNNNNNNNNNNNNNNNNNNNNNNNNNNNNNNNNNNNNNNNNNNNNNNNNNNNNNNNNNNNNNNNNNNNNNNNNNNNNNNNNNNNNNNNNNNNNNNNNNNNNNNNNNNNNNNNNNNNNNNNNNNNNNNNNNNNNNNNNNNNNNNNNNNNNNNNNNNNNNNNNNNNNNNNNAUAUAUAUAUGGAAUGGAAUAUGAAAUUACCUUUGACUUCAAACAUGCCAAAAACCUUCUCCAACUUCACCGCAAUCUUCAAUAACUCGUAUGUGGAGUUCCAUCGAGUUGGGCUAUCAUUGCACAAAAACUUUUUGGAUUCCACAUUUAGCUCUUUCAUGCAUUCUUUGAACCUUUGAAUCCGUUGUGUAGAAUUCUUAAUGUAUUUAACGUCCUUUUGCAUGCACUUGAUACUAGAUUGAUGUUGAUCAAACCCAUCCCUAACAAUAAAGUUAAGGAUGUAGGCCAUACACCUUACGUGUAAUUGUUUCCCCCCAUCGUACAAGUUUGGUAGCUUUUUCAUUAGAAUUUCGAUUGCUUUGUCAUUCACACUAGCAUUGUCAACGGUUAUGUUCAUUACGUUAUUGAUACCCCACUCUUGAAGACAAGUCAAUAACGUGCACCCAAUGUCUUCUCCCUUAUGACUAUCUGGAGAUUUAAAGUUGAUAAUUCUUUUGUGCAUGACCCAAUCUUCAUCAAUAAAGUGGGUCGUGACCACCAUAUAGCUCGACCUUUGACAUGAGCUUGCCCAACAAUCGGUCGUCAAAUGCACAUUACUUAGGGGAUUAUUAAAGAACUUAAACAACUUAGCCUUUUCUUCAAGAAAGUAAUCGGUGACUCUAUUUGAAAUUGUGGUUCUACAUGGCAAAAUUACUUUCCCGUUCAAUUCAUUUGUUUACUCAAUAAAAGAUUCGUUCUCUACAAACUUGAACGGUAAUUCUCCAACUACCAAUAAGUUUAACAAAGCUUUUUUUAUUCUUUUCUCAUCAUGCUUCCAAGUCCCAAUACUAUUCUCUCCGUUUUCAUUUUUUUUGAAAUUUAAAGUGGUUUGGUUUUCUAGUUUUUUUCUAAAUUUUGUGGGUUCAUUUUACAUCUUUCCGUAUGUUUAAUCAUACUAGAAGUAUCGUUUGCGCCAGCUUCGGUUUUGAGCAAAGUUCCACAUUUUUUGCAUCUGCUAUGUCUAACUUUGUCAAUGUGAACUACAUCAUAAUCGUUCCAGCAAGCCACCCUUUGGGCAUAUUUCCUUUUCUUCGACUUUGGUUCUUGACUUGUUCCUUCAACUUGUGUGUUAUCAACAAACACAUCUUCAUCAUCAAUCUAAAGCAUAAUAACAAAAUAGAUUCAUCAUCAAUCUAAAGCAUAAUAACAAAAUAGAUUCAUCAUCAAUCUAAAGCAUAAUAACAUUUAAAUAAAUUCAUCGAUCAGGAAUGACACAAGUAAAAGAAUAUAUAUUGUUAUUUUCAUUAAAUUCUCUUAUUCAAGGUUCUCAUUCAAGGUCAAAGACCCCAUUGCUUGGACUUAUAGAAAAAAAGUUAACUGUUAAGAUACCACAUUCAAAUUUCAAUUGAUAACAUACAUAAUAUCACAUUGAAAGAUUGAUUAGUAGAUUAACACAUCCAAUUUUCAAUGAGUAACGUACUUAAUAACAUUUUGAAAGAUUGAGUAGUAGAUUAAGAUACAAAUACCUACUUGUGUUUCUUGAUUUGGAACCCAAUUUUCCAUGAAUUGAAUGGAGUUUAGUCACAGUAUAAACUAGAAAACAAGAUGAGGAGACGAUUCACAAAAGUUUGAAGCAGGGAAGUCGAUCAAAAACUAAUGUCGAUCAAAGCCAAUUGUCGCAACUCGCAAGGAGCAAUUGUCGAUCAAAGCCACUGGCAGCAAGGACCAAUUGUCGAUCAAAAAAAGAUCGGAAGGAGCAAUUCUAAAUCAACUGUUGAUCAAACCAAAUUGGCGCAAAUCAUCAAUAUGGAAGUAGUCGACUCGAUUCGGUGUAAUAGGAUUAAGAUAUGCGAUUUGGUGCAAUUGGAUUUGAUUUUUUUGGUAGGAUUAGGAUAGUUGACUCACACCUAUAGAACCGAACAUGUAUAUGCAAGAGAUUGGGAUAGUCGACUCACGCAAGGGAAAAAAACGACUCUUCAUAUUCGGUUCGGUUUUUUGGACCGAAUAAGCCCAUAUUUGGGUAACCCGGACCGAAUAACCCGAAAACCGAAUAAGCCUUAUAUAGAUAGCCGAAAACCGAAUCGAAUAGCUUUAUCGGGUCUAAUUCGGUUUGGUUCGGGUUUUCAGCCUCAUUUCUCAUCCCUAGUCAUGCAUACCACCAGCUUUCAAAAGCAUUUCUUCCCCCAACCAAUCAUACCCUCACUUGCUCGUAAAUUCAAUUCAUUGGAAAGCUAACGAUCAUGAAAAUUUAACAACCCAUCAAAGAACUUAAACUCCACACCAAGCACGGUUGAUAUGACGAUCUCGGCACGAGCGGUAGACUGACAAGCCUCAUCCAACUCUUCUUGGAAGAGAAGACACGAAGCACAACCCUCUACACAUAAUAUAUAAAAGAAAAAAUAAAGUACAAAAAACUAAUAACCGUAGAAGUUGAAGGGUUUUGAUACAUAAAAUACAGAGUUUUUCAUAAAAACCGAAAACGACAGCUUUAAAAAUUUCUUAUAAAUUUUGAGUGUAUAACAAAACCAAACCAUUAAGGUGUUGGGUUUUGAGCAAUCUAACACUUCCUAAGUGUGCAUGCAACCCUAAUAAACCUUGGAUCUAUGUUUGUCUAAAUACAUGCAAAAUAAUAAUUUUCCAAGGUUCAUAACCUAUCUAACAUGGCAUGGGGUACUUUUAAACAUAAAAGAAUUAGAUGAGAUUACAUACCUUUUGAUGACGAGUUCAAUUCCUAAGGAGUUUGAGGGCCAGGCACCAAUAGUGUGAAUGCCUCAAACGGAAUCACAAAUCACCACAAACUCUUGGAAAACUUUGAGAGAGUGUAUAUACACAUAGAAAUCAGUCACACACAAACACAUAUUCUUUCUAGUUACACUAGUCACACUAGUGUGCAUUUCAUGCAACAUAAGCAUGCUUAUAUAGUGUACAUGAUUAGGGUGAAACCCUAAUAACCCAUGACCUUUCCUUUUCCAAGGAUCCAUGGGUUAAAAGCUCCAUGGAUCAUCCAUGGACUUCCAUACAAGCCUAGCCCAUUAACAAAUGAGUAUUAGCCCACACCAUAUAAAACCAAUAGCCCACAAUCUAAUUAGUCUUCCUUUUAAUCUCUAAAUUAAUUCAUAAUUAAUUUAAGACUAAGACUAAUUAAAUAACAUGACUUCAUAUUAAUAUAUUAUAACUUAUAAUAUAUUAAUAAACAUAUGUGUAUAACUCUCAUAAAAUUAUCCAUAAAUAGUUUGGAUGAAAUGCAACCCAAAUGGACCAUGCCGGGUCGGGUCAAGUAUAUACCAAAUAAGUUAUGGACUUAGACACCUUAUCCAACAGACUCCCACUUGGAUAAGUCUAAUAACUAUAUUUGCGUAUGUUACUUCAGGAACCAACCAGCAAUCGUAGCUCUCGAAAACUCUGUUGAACUAUGAAGCGCCAUUUUAGAUAAGUGAUCAUAUAAUCCUCUGUUCUCAUGAUAUCAGCCGGACAAAUACAUGGAACAACGUCGUACUUAUUGUCCAACAGUUUGUUUCCCGAUUUUCGAUUUGUUUGACAAAGAACUUAAUCGAACACAUCAAUUUAGUUCUGACCGGCCGGUACAUAGGUCACAACAAAAUCAUCGAGGGGCCCAGAUAUCGCUUCUAUUUCUAGAAGGAACAGAUAAACUUCGACUCAUAUGCUUGUUCUACUACUUGUUGAAUUGUACACAAAGGCACGUUUUAUAACAUCAAGUUACUGAUGCGUUUACGUGCAAUCAAUGCACAACCAACUCAUAGGUAACAACUCAUAUCUCUAGGUUUGAAGAUUUAUAUGAUAUUACCGUCUCACGAUCACUCGAGAUAAAUUCCAUGAAGUGAUACAAGUGAGCGUGGGUUUAUUCCAAUACUCAUAACUUAUGAGCACUCAUGAAUGUUGUAGCAACCAUUGCUAUGACUAAACCCAUUUAGCCAUCUACAAACUCGAUUCAUGACAGUCUUGAUUCAUACCUACUUCCAACAUAUGAACGACUGUGGAGUGUUUAAAUAACUUAGUCAUUCGGAAAGAAUAACCUAGCUAUUUUGGAAGUCAAAACAUGCAAAGUGAAACACAAUAAUAAUCGAAUCCAAUAUGGUCUCAGAACCCUUUUGAAUAUAAAUAGAACCACCUUUUAUUUAUCACCAUAUUGAUUACACAUUAUUCAUUGUAUAAUGUUUCAAACAAUCAACUUAAGACUUGAAUAAAAACAACAGUCGUCCCAUGCUCCUAGCAUGUACACUUUGUUUUUCUAAACAAUAGUUAUGCCAUACUCCAAGUAUGCACACUAUGUUUGUCUAUGAUCCUUACAUUGUGAUGUAGAUCAAUUGAACAUGAUUCCAAUGAUACUCAUUUCACAAUCCCAAAUCCUUAUUGUAAAUGUGAGAAUCCCCGAUUCCUAUCAUUUACCAAAAAAACUGUUAGAUUUUAAACUUUUAUGCAAUGUUCCUCUUGUAAUGAUUAUGCACAAAGUCACCAAAACCUUGUCACCAGUCAUUACAGAGUAUUCCAAAGAAGGUCAACUUCUAUGGAACGGAAGUCUCAUAUUCAAAGUACAUUGCUUUGAACAUCCUUCUUGCAUUAAGGUUUUCUAAUCUUACAUAGAUUGAAUAACUUCCACCUAUGGAGACAUUUCCAUAGUCCCAUUUUGACUAUCACUUCCGAACAAGAGUUACUUCUUUUCAGAAUAUGUCAAUAUGGUCCUUUCCGACAACUUACAUCAUACUUCCAACUUUCCCUGAGCAACCAAUCUUUGGCGAACCUCAGAUUGUCCUCGACAAUUGCUUAAUCACUUUAGUCAUAUCCAGUUCUAGACUUUUCCCUUCUCAAUGCCUUAAGCAUUUGGAAAAUUUAGAAAAGAUGAAUAUUAUAGCACAUGCAAUCGAUCCUAUAUCCGAAGCAUAUGGGACACGAUUCAUGAUGUUUGACAUAAAGACAUGAUACUAGACCAGUCUUUUGCUACAAUAUUUUUUAUUUGCCAUGUUUUCAAAAUUUAACUAUGAAGAGGGAUGCCGUAAUCAUAAUCGAAUUUUGAAAACGCAAUAUAUAUAGAAUUUCUUCAAGUUGAACCAUUCCAACAUAAAAUUCAUAUAUAUAUUCUUGACUAAAGAUGAUUAAAAUCUCAAUCUAAGCUUUAGAAUUGAAAUGAAGUAUAAUUUCCUCUCCCUUAAUUAUAGCAAAACAACUUUUCAACCCCUGCAACUUCACGAAUUGAAACUUUGUUUUCUAUAAUUAACAUUGCUAACUUGCAACACUAAACGUAAUAAUCAUGCUCCCACUAACAUGAUGAUUAUCAGCAUAACACUUAUGCUCCCACUAGCUCUGACAUAUUUCCAGAAAUCUGCUGGACUUCUGAAAUUUAGAUUCAUACACCCUUUCUUAGAUAGCUCACAUGUGUGUCUAAACAAUUUUCAGAACUAUGAAAAGGGAUGCCGUAAUCAUAGUCUCAAUUGCUUAGGCAUUUGCCAUUUCUCACAAGUCCAUGUUAGUGUGCCGGUUAACCACACGCGCUCCACUAACGACUUUUGAAAAUGCAAAUAACACAAUUGAUAUCUACGUAAAAUCUACUUAGUGAAAGCGUUUCCUCACCAUCAUUUUCAUGAAUCGGAGAGAAACCUUAUGACACUUAGAUUUUAUAGUGUAUGAGUUCCUAUCCAUGUGAAUUUGUCAAAAC
rnacentral:lncRNA from 1 species